rnacentral:lncRNA from 1 species
CCCAAUAAAACAAUAUAAUUUGGCCAAUAUCCCUCCCAGUACUUUACCCAUCCUUCCCCUCUUCCCACACACUGGUCCCCUUUCUCUAUUUUAAUGAGGUCCUUUUGCUUUUAAUGCCAUCACCCUCCAGUUUUCUUUUUGUUUUUCCUCUCUAGCAUCCAUAUAGAGAGAUAACACAUGAAUCUUGAAAUUUUGAAUUUGGCUUAUUUCACUUAACAUAAUGAUCUCAAGUUCCAUUUUCCUGAAAAUGGCAUAAUUUCAUUUUUCUUUAUGGCUGUAUAAUAUUUCAUUGUGUGUGUGUGUGUGUGUGUGUGUGUGUUAUGGCUUAUUUCUACUAAGUCCAAUUUUCUUUGACUGAAUUUGCUUGAUCUGAGUUUUGUUAGGACAGUGUAGUUUCUCUGUCAACAUUUAGUCAUUAACAUAUUUUCCUUUGUGCAGUUUAGCUGUUGUCAGUUUUAGUUUGGGCUAUUAUUUUAACAAAAACAGGUAGGGACAAAACCCAAUUGAUUUAAGCAUCUAUGGAAACCACAAAUGGGGCCAGGUAGAAGCAGAUUGCACAGAAUCUGAGUGACAUGCCUUGGGCUAAGUUUUCAUUCACAGCAGAUGAGCAGAAAGGCAGAUCAAUGGUAACUAUACCGAUGACAAGAACUUCAAAGAAAUUUAUAAUGAGAUACAGAGGGUCAAAGUUAAAUUCAAGGCUAUCAUGAAUGAUGACUUUCUAAACUAUGCCCACAGUCUUGUGGCAUGUUUUGCUUGACUCUACCCCAGCAGGUCCUUGGUUUAUGUUGGAGGGAUCUGAGUUUCGUCAGUGUGGUGAAGCCUAAGAUCUCUGAGCUUGGGACCAGGUCAUCUGGGAUCCACCACUUGUUUUGAGUAUGUGGGCAAAUCUUUGUCCCACAAAGUUUCUGAUUUACUGUCAAAGAUGGGUUGGUCUUUAAAAGUUUGUAGACUUCUUUGAAAUCCUGAAAAAAAAAAUCUAUGAAAAUCUCCCCUUGGAAUUAUUUAUAUAGAUCCACCCAUAUUUUGCAUAUAAUUUGAGAAGUUUCAUGGACCCCUUCGUGUAGGCCCAAGGAUGAUGAGUUAAGAACACUCAGCCCAGUAUGGAAAAAAAAAAGCCCUCAGUUUAGGUGAUCUGUCAGGACCUAUCCAGGGUUGACAUGCUACCUAGGACUUAGGUGAUAUAUAUGUAUAUAUCUGCUACUUGAUACCUCAGAGCUGACACACACACCACUUAUGGAUAAAAAUGGAGACAUCUAGAAAAGGAAGAUCUGGAACCCUUAGCAUGCAUGAUUAAUCAAUCAGUGUUUUCAUUGUUAUCAUUAGUGGUCAAAAGCAUAGACCUUGGGAUUAUGCUUCUUUGGAUAAGAUGCUUAACCAUUCUGGGCCUCCAUUUUUGCGUGCAUAAUAUGGAAAUAUUAACAGUACCAACUUUGUAGGGCUGUUGUAUGAAAGAUCUACAUAUUCAACUAUGGUAGCUUUUAUUACCUCUAAUGAGCAGAUUUUUAGAUAAUUUAAUCACAGAUGAAGUGGUAACUGUCACAGCUGGUGAGUUUUAGAUAUUAUUUACUUUAACUCUGUCAUUUUACAAAGAGAGAAUCAGAAAGAGAAGGCAUUGCCUGAGGUCACCCAAAGUUGCCCCGUUCACCUGUGUUAGGGUUGCUCUCUGACAUUUCCCUUAGAUACCAGGAAAAUGUGACAGCUAACAUGACGUCAUCAGCACAGUGCUUUUCCAGGACAAGAGGAGGCCUGUCUCCAUGGAUGAGGUCCCAUGUGAUUAUUUACCUUAUUUGUAGAGUUCUCUGACACACCAGCUGUUUCUGCUGUGAGUAUAGAGUGAUUCAGGGCAGGUUGGACAUCAGUGGGUGUAAUUUCUACAAAUGCAAUUUGCAAGAACCUGUGAUGGUACCUGGAAAUUAGUCACUCUAAUUCUAAUUACAAGGCUUUUGCGAUUCCAGCUGAUUUCCAGCCACUCCCAGAGCAGACGUUUCAACCACCCAACUGCAAUAUAUGGGGACUUCUCAAUGUCACCACCAUUGAGAGAACUGGAACCUGUGGGGAAGCCUUUCAGAAAUGACCACCUUAGUAUCUGACCCUAAGCACAAACAAAGGUGGAAGCCUGCUCAAGAAACUUCCAAAGCUCAUCUAUUGGGAGACACAGGGAUGAUCCCAUAAGGCUGGGCUUAGCUUUGUGGAGGGAUCAGUAGAUUUAUGACUGGUAGAAUGAUUUGUGCUGCUGCUUUCUAAAAAGACCUGGGCUCCCUUCCUCAGAGCACAGCAAGAGACUUUUAGUGCCUCCCCUGGUCUGCUGGUUUCAGUGACUGUUAAAUUGUGCAAAGAGCACUGGGCCCACUGCCCGCCCUCUGGGUCCCUGAGUAAGACAAACAGCCCCUUCAUACUUGGUUCCUGUUCUCUAUGGCAUAAUUAUUUUCAGAAUUGAAUAUAAAUAAAAUAUUAGACAAUAUUAUUUGAACACUUAAUAAUUGCUAUACAAAUGAAAUAAUUUAUUAAAGUUUUCCUCUGCAUCCUGCAUUGUGUUCUGUGCUUCUCAGGAAAAACAACAGUUAGUCCCCAGAACCACCAUUGAGGAAGAAUGUGCCCUUGUCCCUAGUGUGUGUGAGGAAACUUAGCUAAAACAAAAUACCUGAGACUAAAUAAUUAAAAAAAUAAUAGAGGUUAUUUGGCUCAGAGUUCUUCAGACUAGAAGUUCAAGAGCAUGGUGCUAGAGAGGGCCUCACACUGCUUCAACUCAGGGCAAAAAGAGGAAGGGCAAGUUGGUACACGCAGAAGGGGCAGAACAUAAGGGCAGACUUACUUUGUAACAACCUUCUGUGGCAAGAACAAACCCAUGCCCAAGGCUUUAAUCUCUCUUUAUGAUCUAAUCACUUCUUAAAGGCCCUACCACCUCUCAAAACUGAGUUGGGAUUUAGAUUCCAACACAUGAACUUUUGGGGGAUCCAUUCAAACCAACUGCAGAAAUGGCAGCUUAGAGGGAUUUAAUCAUUUAAUAAGCUAGGGGCUUGGGGGUGUGACUCUGUGGAAGAUCACUGGCCUACUGGCCUAGCAAGCAUGAAGCCUUGGGUUUAAUCCCCACAACUGAAAAAAGAAAGUAUAAAAAGGGUAUUUUGGGGAUACAAACGCUGAAACCCAGGGUUGUCUAGUUGCAAACCCUGAGCUCACGAUCAUCAUGUUCUCCUGAUGCCUCACUUGCUGUCUGUAUCAGGCAGGUGUCUUAAAGCACUUAAGAUAUACCUUUCCUCACACCAUUGUAGGGCAGAAAAAAAUGUUCUCUCCCCAUGUUAACUGUAGCCCAUGUGGAGUUAUCAGGCUUUCACAAUGAUUAUCCCUAAUAUUUUAAAGGGCCAUACUAAAGUUUUUGGUGAUUCAGAAAGAUGGGUUCCUGAAGUGAAAGGGGUUGAUAGAUAUUCAACAAGUAGCCCUAAUUCUGUUUUUUGUAAAAUAAAAUUUAUGUGAGGCCUUGGUUAGAACUUAUAGUCAGACAGACUAGACUCUGACACUUAGUAGCUUUGGGUCCUUAGAGACAUAACCUCUCUGGGUCUCAGGUUCUUCACCUGUCAGAUGGAAUAUUCUAGAAUGUAACUUAGAGUGUCACUCUGAAAAUUAAAGAAGACAAUGUAUUUAAAGUAGGUUAUGGUUUGGGUAUGGUAUCAUCCAAAUACUCCUGUGUUCAUGCAGGAAUAUUCAGAGGUAAAAUGGUUAAACUAUGAGACCUAAUCAGUCCAUACUAGUGUGCAAGGGCUAACUGGGUGGUAACUGUAGGCAGGUGGAGUGUGGCUGCAGAAUGUGGGUUACUGGGGGAAUUUCCUAGAAGGGUGCAUCUGCUUUACAGCCCCUUCCUCUCUCUUUUAAUAUUUCCCAACUGCCACAUCCUUUGGCCACAGUGCUCUGCCUUACUUCAGAUCCAGAGCAAUGGAGCUACAAAUCACGGACCAAAUCUCUGAAACCAUUAGCCAAAAUAAACUUUUCCUUCUCUAGGUUGUUAUUGUCAUGUAUUUUGGUUCAGCAACGAAGAACUGACUAACAAAUAUUACUUAGCUCAGAGUUUUCUUGUGGUUUUUUUUUCUUUUUUUAGAGAGAGAAAGAAUUUUUUAAUAUUUAUUUUUUAGUUUUUCGUGGACACAACAUCUUUAUUUUUUAAUUUUUUUAUGUGGUGCUGAGGAUUGAAUCCAGCACCCCAGAGAGAGAAUUUUUUAAUAUUUAUUUUUUAGUUUUCGGUGGACACAACAUCUUUAUUUUUAAAUUGUUUUUAUGUGGUGCAAAGGAUCGAACCCAGCGCCCUGUGCAUGCCAGGCGAGCAUGCUACCGCUUGAGCCUCAUCCCCAGCCCCUAGCUCAGAGCUUUGUAUGUAACAAAUAUUCAACAAAUAAUAACUAUUGUAAUUUUGACCAUGUGUGCUCAAUAAUAAACAACAGCAGCUAAUGUUAACUCGGCACUUCCUGCAAGGCUGACGGUGGGUAAGAAUUUUGCAUGUAUGAUCUUAUGACUUAGGGUUGAUAUUAUUAACAUGCCCAUUCUAUAGGUGAGGAAACCAGGGCUUGAGAAGUUCCGCAAUUUGCUUAAGGUGUCGCAGCUUCAGUAUCAGGGGCAGGAUUUGGAUUCAAUUAGUCUGGCUGCAGGAUCUAUGCUCUCUACCACCAAGCAGUUUUGAUUGUCUUCUGCCCUGACUUGGCUUUUUCAGUAGCACUGACUCCAGGGUAACAUGGCCAUCAGUCAGAUUUUCUCAUAUCAGUCAGCAAUAUGACAGUGUAUGAAUGAGUGAGUGUGUGUGUGUGCAUGCGUGUAUGUGUAUGUUUGUUGACAAAGGCCAGGUUGCAGUGAUAGUUAUGAAUAUUUCCAGGUCAAACUGAUGCUCAAAGAACCAUAUAUUGGUGUCUCCAAAGAGAAACUACUUUUUGUCUUACUAUGAAUAUAUUUUACACAGGCAAUGUCCCAAGGGAGAAAGGACCUGCAGGUGUGACCAGAGAAUAUGUGAAGGAAAGAAAAAAUCAGAGCAACCCAUCCUAUCCCAGAGCACAGCACCAUGAAAUGUUCUUUAAGGGCUACUGAGUUUCCCCAGGAUGGUUUUCCUAAGAGAAAAAUGCAGAAAGAACUGGGGUGAGGGAAAUACAUUUUUGAAGACUGCUUAGGACUAUCUCAUGAAGGAGAAACAGUCCUCAUCCCAUCCACACUCAGCGCACUUACUAACCCCAAGAAACCAUUCUUUUCUAUUGUGCAUUCUAUCCUCUCCCAAGUGCUGAAGGAUUGAUCUAUAGAGACAGUCUCCAAGUGCCCUGGUUGCUACUUGGUUAUUCCAUAGCAAUCCUUUCCAGACACCUCUGAGUUCCAGAUCAUUGAAGGUCUUGGGUCUCUAUAACUCUUCCCUGGGCCUGUUUCCCAGAUUCCCCUGAAUGGGUUAUCUCAGCACUCACACACUUGAAGGAUGACAACAAAUUGCCACCAGACAGAAAAGCUACCAGCACCAUCUGGACAAUGCAGAAUUAUGUCUAUGACUCUACCAACAUAAAUAAUCAAUCUGAAAAUGUGAACAUUUUGCCAUCCCCAAACCUCAGAUAUCAGUCCUUCCUUUAGGGUGACUUCCAAGGUCAGAGUUCUGUUGCUUGAGCUAUGGCUUCUGUCCAAUAGUUCAACAACUGUGGUGCAAUUUCUGUGUGUGAAUAUAGAGAUGUUCUUCAACUAUGUUUAGGCUGCUUGAGAGAUAGACAGGUUUCUAAUUUCAUCUCAAAGUACUCAGUAUCUGUGAGUCACUAAC